rnacentral:rRNA from 1 species
GAUGAACGCUAGCUGGAGGCUUAAUACAUGCAAGUCGAGCGGGAUUGGGUAGCAAUACCCAUGAGAGCGGCGCACGGGUGAGUAACGCGUACACGACCUACCUCUAACAGGGGGAUAGCCCUGGGAAACUGGGAUUAAUACCGCAUAUAAUCUUGAUUUUAAAAGUCAAAAUGAAAGUUCAGGCGGUUAGAGAUGGGUGU